CUCUCACAAAAACACAAAUUUUCACCCAAUCAAUAAAAUCAAAAACAUACUUCAUUCUUAUCUGAAUACCACCGAACCCCACCCCCAAAUUCAAUACCACACACACAAUUCAUUCUUAUCCUCCUUUUUUUUUAAUAAAAUAAAAAAAAUAAAAGGUAUGAGAAAAACAAGAUCACAAAGUCCUCUUUGACAACAUCCAAGGCAUCACCAAGCCAACUAUCCGUCGAUUGGAUCGCAGAAGUGGUGUGAAGCUUUUCAGCUGUUUGAUUUACAAGGUGACAUGUUCUACGUUGAAGAGCUUUAUGAAGAAUAGUCAUUGUGAUGUUGAUUAAAGAAAAUGGUAUGAAGAAGCUAUUGGAAGUAAUUCAAACUAAAUUGAAGAGGUCCUUUGAUCUUGAUUUGUUAGAAGUUUGUUUAGAAGACCGAACCUUUUUGUUUAGAUUUUACUUUCAACGUUAUUGUUUUCGUUGGCUUAUUUUCUAUGUACAUUGUUUUGCCAUUUCAAGGCUUGCUUGUCAGAUUAAUAAAGCAUCUGCUUUUGCAUUCAA